UGGAUAUAGUUUAUAAAAACACUAGUCUG
rnacentral:tRNA from 1 species